AACGCACAUUGCGCCCAUCAGUAUUCUGGUGGGCAUGCCUGUUCGAGCGUCAUUUCAACCCUUAAGCCCCCGUUGCUUAGCGUUGGGAGCCUACCCGCCGCGGUAGCUCCCCAAAGACAGUGGCGGAGUCGGCAGCGACCCUAGACGUAGUAACAUUGCCUCGUCUGCGGCCGUUCCGGCGCCCUGCCGUAAAACCCCCCACAUCUCAAGGUUGACCUCGGAUCAGGUAGGAAUACCCGCUGAACUUAA
rnacentral:misc_RNA from 1 species